GACGAACGCUGGCGGCGUGCUUAAUACAUGCAAGUCGAACGAUGAAGCUGGAGCUUGCUCCGGUGGAUUAGUGGCGAACGGGUGAGUAACACGUGAGAAAUCUGCCCUUGACUCUGGGAUAACUGCGGGAAACUGUAGCUAAUACCGGAUAUUUUCCUUGUUGGGCAGCCACUGGGGCAGAAAGAAUUUCGGUCAAGUAUGAUCUCGCGGCCCAUCAGCUAGUUGGGGAGGUAAUGGCUCACCAAGGCGCCGACGGGGAGCCGGCCUGAGAGGGUGACCGGCCACACUGGGGAUGAGACACGGCCCAGACUCCUACGGGAGGCAGCAGUGGGGAAUAUUGCACAAUGGGCGCAAGCCUGAUGCAGCAACGCCGCGUGAGGGAUGACGGCCUUCGGGUUGUAAACCUCUUUUAGUAGGGAAGAAGCGAAAGUGACGGUACCUGCAGAAAAAGCACCGGCUAACUACGUGCCAGCCGCCGCCGUAA
rnacentral:rRNA from 1 species